CGGCGCCCCCCAGCAACAGCAGGGUGGUGCCAUAUUGGUCCUGAGCCAGGCCUAGCCACCGGUGACGGCGGGACUCUCUGGGAGGCCGGCGGUCCUCGGGUGUAGAGGGAGACAGCUGCCCGGGGGCACGGGCGAGCACCUCUGGGGGUCCCGGAUCCUAGACCCGCGGCCCCGGGGUGGCGGUGACGCCUGGAGUCGUGCGGGCUUGGCUGGGCCGGGCUCUUGGGGCAGCCAGGUGCCGCUGCUGGCGUCUAGGCCACACCACCCUGAACGCGCCGGCUCGCCUCUGAUCUGUUGAAGCUAAGCAGGGUCGGGACUGUUUAGUACUUGGAUGGGAUUCCGCCUGGUAAUAGCGGUACCGUAGGCUUUUGGCUUCCCGCUCCCUCCCUCUUUCCUCCUUUUGUCUCCGUGCUUCCCAACUGCCCCCCGCCUCUGCUCCCGGUUGACCGCCCCCGCGCCCCAGCAGAAGCCCAGGUCCUCCUCCUGAAGAUCCGCCACUGCAGCACCGCCAGGCAGCAGCAUCCCACCUCUUCCGACUCGCGGCAGCCCCACCCAACCCGGGCGGGACGGGACCAACCCCGAGGGUGCAGGCGCGGGUUCCCUGAGGUCCCGGGUGUCUUCACGCUCCCCGGACUCCCAGGCAAUUGUAUUCAUUCAUUCAGCGUCACUGCAACCGUCCAAGCCGGUGGAAGGGGCGAGCAGGGGCAGCGGGUGCCACAGACCCCAGCCAAGACCUCCGCUCCAGAACCCGAGGGCUGCUUUCCCCAGAGGAAGGACAUUUUCUUCGCCAGCCACGAGGAAAACCGUCCCUGUGCACCCUGUUUCCCAAUGCCACCGACUUCGUGUAAACUCCAGUCCGGAGGACAGGAGAGAGACCCAGGCCUCGCCCCGUGGACAGGCUCGGCGCCACGGCUCCCGCCAGACACAGGAGCACACUCUACAAAUCUCGGGGCCCAUCGCAUCAAGGAGACAGAAAGAAGCAAACGAAGGACCUUAUGAAACACACCCCCAAAGCAACCAACCAAUCCAAGAAAAAAAAACACGUCUCAGGGCUCCAUUGGUUUUCCUGGCUGGGGGGCCCUGACCCCCUGUUCUAGCCCGGCCCAAGAACCCUGCACCCCACCCCGGCCUGCUGAAAGGUGCCCUGUCUACCUGAGCAGAGCCUCCCUCUCCAAGGCUCUGUCGCUGUCGCUCCACAACUCCCUCACCCUCUCCCUUUCUCUACUUCCCCCUCCACCUCGUGCUCUACUGUGGUGCUCUCUCUUCCCCCCUCUCUCUCUCCUCCCCCCUUUUCUAUCUCUCUCUCUCUCUCUAUCGCUGUCUCUCUCUCUCCCUCUGGUUCUAUUUCUCCAUCCCUCUCUCCUUUGCUUUCCUUCUGUAGCAGGAGGAGCUGCAGACAAAACCCCUCAGACACCGAGUUGUAGAAGGAAGGGCUUUAUUCAGCUGGGAGCAUCAGCAGACUCACGUCUCCAAAAACUGAGCUCUCCUAGUGAGCAAUUCCUGUCCCUCUUAAGGGCUUACAACUCUAAGGGGGUCCGCGUGAGAGGGUCGUGAUGGAUUGAGGAAGCAGAGGGUACGUGACUGGGGGCUGCAUGCACAGACAACGAGAGCGAAACCACAGAGAAAAGAAACAUCCCGUGCAUCACGGCCUGACAAUGGAUUCCUGUUUCCUGUACAAUGUGGAGUCUCCAAUAUAGCCUGUUUGAAAACUGGAAAGGAGAGCACCGACACGAUGCUGGUCUUCCACGCAUUCCUGGAAGUUUCUGGGGCCCCACAGAGCUCGCGAAACAAACAGUCAACAUGGUCACGCUUUCGGGGGGCAGAAACUUGAGCAACAGGCACCUUUACAGAGGGCAAAGAAACGUGGAAUCCAGAAUCACGCUUCAGUUGGCCUGGGUGUGACUCCUGUGUGGAUGGGACUAUCUGCCUCGAGCUCUGUUGCAGGGCUCAACGUGGGGAUAUGUCAUCUGUGAACCAUGUGGAUGAAAAACAGACAACUACCUGAGUCUCGGCUCAUUGCUCUCUGGGGAAUUCGCUCAUUCCUUCGGAAACGGAAUUGGUCUGAAUUGCUCCGGGAUGAAGUAACCCAGGCUGGUGAUCCAGAGGGCCGCUGAGCGCCCCGCCGGCCAACGGGGCUGUGGGCCCAGCACUCAGCCUGUACUGGGCACCCAACAUAUUCCCGGAGUUCUGGGUCCUGUUGGUUCUGGAGGCAUAAGACAUUUUUUGUCUCUGCCUUCUGUUCUCUGUUUCUUGCUCCUUUUGUCUCUCCGUCCAUCCUUCCAUCUGUUCUACCCUCCCUCCCCUGGCUUUUUCCUCCCUUUCUCCCUCCCUCCCUCUUUCUCUCCCUUCCGGGGUCCCUCCUUCCACCCAUCCUUGCCUAGCUCCAUCCUUCCAUCUCACUCUGUCUCUGUUCCUGUCCUCAUCUCUGCCUGCCUUCCCUCUUGCCUGGAAAGGGCAGCACCCUGGUUUGCGCGAGGUCUCGGGUCUUUAUUUAGUUGUAAGGCGCUCUAUGGUGCUGGCGAGGAGGCUGGCGGGACACGGGUUGGCAAGUGAUGGUGAGCGAAGAGGCGGAGGAGUUGAGCCACAGAAAGGAGAACUGGCCUGGAUUCUGCCCCGGCCCAGUGUUUCGCGGACUGAGGUCUCCGCCAACCCGAUUGAAGAACGCGGGGGGGAAAGGGAGGAGAGCUCCGCCUGGGCUAGUUAGAAGACUAGGCUGCUGCCUGGAAACCCGCGCAUGCGCAGUAGACAGCCCACCUCCCUGUACCUGGACCGGCCCUGGGAUCCCCGGGAUGCUCAGGAAUGCUUUCUUUUCAUUGUUGACAGCCCUACUCUGUGUGGAGUCUCUCGCUGGACCUGGAACUCAGGGAUCCUAGGGAGGUCAGCUGGAAGGGAAGACACGCCUCUCCAUACCAAGCCUGAGGUUCACUGCAAAAGAGAGGCCGCCGCCCUGCCCCCACCCUGCCCCCACCCUGCCCCAAACCCGCCCCAACCUGCUCCUCCAGCAGAGCCCUGUGUUCUUCCUGUCUGAGGAGUGGUUCCAGCAAAGCGGGCUCUUCCACGUCCUUCAGCUCCCCCAGUGGCGCCGGAUCUAGGAAAGGUUGUGCCUUUUGCUGAAACUCUGGGGUUGACAGGAGCUCAUCUAACAGGCUGGAGGUGAGUGCAGACGAGAGCCCCGGCUCCUGGAGCGGUUGGGAGGUGCCCGGUUGGCUGGCAUCUGCGCUUGACGCGGAGGCCUCCGGGGUCACGAGCUCGGGAGGUGAAGGUGCCCCGUCUUCGGGUUCCCAUGCCGCCCUGGCGACCUGGGGCUCCAGCCCCACCACGGACUCCGGUGGGACGUGGGUGGUGCAAGCACACCUUUCCCCUGUGACUCAGCUUGAGGGGCCCCAAGCUGUCCCACUGAGCACGCGCCCAGCAGGCCGUCGCGCUGUGGGUUCUGGUCUUCCUGUCAUUUGUUGGGGUUCGGAGGCCACCAGGGAGUCUGAGGAUGGGAGAGCCCCAGUUUCGGAGGGAGGGGCCAGGACAGUGAACACAAAGCCCCGCAUGCUCGGGCAGGUUGGGAGAGUCCUUCUGCCUGUGCAGCCUGGCUGGGCUGGAGCAGGGGGAUGACCCUUGCUUCCUGGCUCACGAAAGCCCCCUGUGGGAGAGCCCCAGGAGCGCAGGGCAUGUGGGGUGCAGGAAGCGACGUUCCCCACGCCCCGGUGUAGGUGAACCCGAUAGAGGAGGGAGGAGGGUGACACCCACCAGGGGUGCUAAUUAGUAACCACAGUGGCCUCAAAGAACUCAAAUGAAAGGAAGACUUGCAAGUCUCUCACUUUAAGUCCAGAGCUAGAAAUGAUUAAGCUUAGUGAAGAUGUAGAAUUUUCAUAGCUAGAGAGAAGUCAACACUUGGCUUCAGAACUUCAAAGGAUGGGCUGACUCUCUUUGAGGACCACUGCAGCUGGUGACUUUAGGUUACAGCCAGUGCUCAUUGACCACUCUGAAAAUCUCAGGGCCCUUAAGAAUUAUGCAAAAUCUAUUCUUUCUGUGCUCUAGAAAUGGAACAUCACUGUCUGGGUGACAGCACAUCUGUUAAUAGCAUGGUUUACUGAAUAUUUUAAUCCCACUAUUGAGACCUACUGCUCAGAAAAAAAAAAAAAACGAUUCUUUUAAAAAGAUUGUUGGUUGGCCAGGCAUAGUGGCUCAUACUUGUAAUCCCUGCACUUUGGGAGGCUGAGGAUCACCUGAGGUCAGGAGUUCAAGACCAGCCUGGCCAAAAUGAUGAAACCCCAUCUCUAAAAAAAAAAAAAAA
rnacentral:lncRNA from 1 species